CCUACGGGAGGCAGCAGUAGGGAAUCUUCCACAAUGGGCGAAAGCCUGAUGGAGCCACGCCGCGUGGAUGAAGAAGGUCUUCGGGUCGUAAAACCCUUUUGUUAGAGAGGAAAGUGCGUGAGAGUAACUGUUCACGUUUCGACGGUAUCUAACCAGAAAGCCACGGCUAACUACGUGCCAGCCGCCGCGGUAAUACGGAGGUUGCAAGCGUUAUCCGGAUUUAUUGGGCGUAAAGGGAACGCAGGCGGUCUUUUAAGUGUGAUGUGAAAGCCUUCGGCUUAACCGGAGUAGUGCAUUGCAAACUGGGAGACUUGAGUACAGAAGAGGAGAGUAGAACUCCACGUGUAGCGGUGAAAUGCGUAGAUAUAUGGAAGAACACCAGUGGCGAAAGCGGCUCUUUGGUAUGGAACUGACGCUGAGGUUCGAAAGCGUGGGUAGCAAACAGGAUUAGAUACCCGAGUAGUC
rnacentral:rRNA from 1 species